UACGUAUGGGGCAAGCGUUGUCCGGAAUCAUUGGGCGUAAAGCGCGUGUAGGCGGCUCGGUAAGUCCGCUCUGAAAGUCCGGGGCUCAACCCCGGGAGGCGGGUGGAUACUGUCGAGCUAGAGUCCGGAAGAGGCGAGUGGAAUUCCUGGUGUAGCGGUGAAAUGCGCAGAUAUCAGGAGGAACACCAAUGGCGAAGGCAGCUCGCUGGGACGGUACUGACGCUGAGACGCGAAAGCGUGGGGAGCAAACAGG
rnacentral:rRNA from 1 species